rnacentral:lncRNA from 1 species
UUGAAAUGGAAGAGUUGGGCAAUGCUGCAGAAACAUCCAAUUUAACCCCAGGAGCUCUCAUUCCCUGGCCAAUGAUGAGAUCGGCAAACACGUGCAUAAGAGCUGUACACUGGACGUGUGUGCCCCAAGCCUGCUUGGCAUCUCUUCAUCUACAGUCUGGUCAGGAAGCAAAGACAGAGAAGAGGUAACCCUGGGGAAAUUUAGUUGUCAUUUGAGGAAGUGAGGCUCGAACUCCAGGAUGUGAGCACAAUACAGGUCCUCCCUGGGUGUGUCAUUGUGACGCUUCUGCCUCUGCAUCCCUGACAAACUUCCUCGAGAUACCAGAACACUGCUCUACAGACCAUAGUUUGAAGGUAAAGUUGGGGAGGGUUUCUGUGUGCCGACCCCAUGCUUGCUGCCCCCAGGCACCAUGUGAGUAGGAAGACAAGCCAGACCUAGCAUCUAGCCUCUGAAAGCAGUGCUUACUCUCAAGAGUGGAGUGUAGAAGUUAUCAAGCAGGGGCAUUGCGGCUCUGGUCUGCAAGGGAAGGGUUUGGUCUGUGUAUCCACAUUUAUGCAACAAGACCUCAGUGUCAUGAAAUGCCACCUCCACACCCCUGCUUCCAGGUGUUGAUAUGGACUCACUUCUACAACUCUUCACACACAAAACACCCUGAGAUGUGAUGUUACCAGCCUCCAAGAUGGCACAGCAGGUUUCAGAGAUCCCUGGUGCCUUUGUAGAUCCUGAGGUCUACUGAACUGUGUGGAGUAGGCCUGUGCUGUCCAGGGAGAAGACAAUGUGGGCAAGAUACUGGGAGAGCAGAUGCUGGACACAUCACAUGUGGGAGACUGAAUGCUAGGUACAGAGGAUGCUGGGGAUGAAGGAUGCUGGGUACAGAGGAUGCUGGGGGCUGAGGAUCCUGGAGACGGAUGAAGGAUGCUGGGGAUGGAGAAUGCUAGGGCCAGAGUGGAAAAAGAAGAAGGAGAGGAAGAAGAAAAAGAAAGGAGGAGAAGCAGGAGGAGCAACAGCAGCAGCUGCAGCAGCUGCAGUAGCCAAAGUAUCCUCUGCCUUUUAGCAUCCCAAACACACCCUAAGAAUUCUGCACACGAAGAUUCAGCAGAGAUCCAGGCAUGGAAAUGAUUUUAAGUGAGCCUGACAGACACUCGAUAGCAUGUGGAAUUUUCAGGUAAGGUGUGUCUCAGAUGCUCUACCUCCCUUGUGGCCCCCACCUUCCUUUGCAGCCACCCUGUUCCUUUCCCCUUCAUGUCUUAUGUGACCCUUGCCACCCUCAUGUCGUAUGUGACCCUUUCCCCUUCAUGUCCUAUGUGACCCUUUCCCCUUCAUGUUGUAUGUGACCCUUUCCACCUUCAUGUUGUAUGUGACCCUUUCCCCCUCAUGUCGUAUGUGACCCUUUCCCCUUCAUGUCGUAUGUGACUCUUGUCACCCUCAUGUCAUAUUUAACCCUUGUCACCUU